GCGGUUGUAGCUCAGUUUGGUCAGAGCGUGACGUUGCCAUCGUCGAGGUCCCGGGUUCGAAUCCCGGCUGCCGCUCC
rnacentral:tRNA from 1 species